rnacentral:rRNA from 1 species
UUGAACGCUGGCGGCAGGCCUAACACAUGCAAGUCGAACGGUAACAGGAAGCAGCUUGCUGCUUGCUGACGAGUGGCGGACGGGUGAGUAAUGUCUGGGAAACUGCCUGAUGGAGGGGGGAUAACUACUGGAAACGGUAGCUAAUACCGCAUAACGUCGCAAGACCAAAGAGGGGGGACCUUCGGGCCUCUUGCCAUCAGAUGUGCCCAGAUGGGAUUAGCUUGUUGGUGGGGUAACGGCUCACCAAGGCGACGAUCCCUAGCUGGUCUGAGAGGAUGACCAGCCACACUGGAACUGAGACACGGUCCAGACUCCUACGGGAGGCAGCAGUGGGGAAUAUUGCACAAUGGGCGCAAGCCUGAUGCAGCCAUGCCGCGUGUAUGAAGAAGGCCUUCGGGUUGUAAAGUACUUUCAGCGGGGAGGAAGGUGUUGUGGUUAAUAACCACAGCAAUUGACGUUACCCGCAGAAGAAGCACCGGCUAACUCCGUGCCAGCAGCCGC